AAUAAUUAGUGCGCAAAAAUUGCUGAUGUGUGUGUUCUUCUAAUCUUUCCAAAGAGGCUCGUAAGAGGAUAAUUGGACACGACAAUUUAGUACGACAUCCAUUCCGAGCAUUGCCAAAUAUAACUACUUGUCUCAGCGAUUCUUCACUCAAAAGAUCAUUACUAAUAUUGCACCAAUCUUCUAAAAAUAUUUUACAGAAGCAAACAACAGACAAUACCUUGGCGUCAUCCAAUUCAUGCUGGAGCUGAAAGACUUUCUUUUUGAGAUGAUCGAUGAUACUAUCAGUAUUACCGCUAGA